rnacentral:misc_RNA from 1 species
AACGCACGAGACCUGCGGACCUGCGGAGGGAUCAUUAACGCGAUCAAAACUUUGUUGUUGAUUAGAGAGAGAAUCGGUCUUGUACCGACUCUUUCUCUAUUCUACUUCAACAACUUGUUAGUAUUAGUAGAGUUUCAUCGCUCUGCUAGUACUAUCAAGCACCUUAGUGAUUUGUUAAAGUCUUUAACCUUAUGAUCAUCACACCAGUCAUCUGGUGAUUCAUCAUCGGAUGAUGGUCGA